rnacentral:piRNA from 1 species
UGUGCUUUCAGGAUCAGUAUG